GCCCCAGAGUCGGGGUCUCCCCAGAUCCGGGGUCUCCGCACAGCCGGGGUCGCCCCAGAGUCAGGGUCUCCGCAGAGCUGGGUUCGCACCGAAGUGUGUGUGUGGGGGGGUCUCUGCACAGCCGGGGUCUUCCCAGAGCCGAGGUCGCUCCAGAGUCAGGGUCUCUGCAGAGCGGGGGUCGCCCUAGAGCCGGGGUCUCCCCAGAGCCGGGGUCUCCGCACAGCCGGGGAUCGCCCCAGAGCCGGAGUUGCCGCAGAACCAGGGGUCGUGGCAGGGCCGGGGUCGCUGCAGUUGUGGACGGGUCUCUGGAUGGUGAGGCGGGGUGCUGAGCGCAGCCCGAGGCCGGCUUGCGUGUACCCAGAAAGCCAGUGUCUUAAAGACGUGGAUGCCCUAGGAUCCCCAGUUCAGCAUCUUUCCAGGAACACGAUAAACUGGAGGCCCCCUUCAGUUUGUUCCACCAGAGAAACAGACAAAAACCUGAGCUGCCUCCCGCGGAAGCCCUUAGCUCUAGAAGGGAGCGGAGAGACGGACACCCCUACUCGCUGACCUUGGGGUCUGUCGAACUUGGCUCCGGCACCCAGCAGAGUGGAGCUUCUGACUCCGCGAGUUGGCUCUGCCCCUCCGGUUUCUGAAGACACUCCCUGAGCCACCGGGCUGCACCAAAGUGCUGCUUCUGGGGGGCUCUGCUGAAGUGAAGGGUCAGCAGUGGGGCUGAAUGUGUUAGACCCAGGUGGGACUCAUGCUGGGGACCCAGAGUUCUGCCACUCAAGAGAAAAGAGGACAGUGUGCUGGUGAUGCAGGGUCAGCCCAUGCAUGCCCCAGGCUGGUCCUGGAAAGAUGGCCUGUUGACUGUGGACUUGCUUGGAAAAGUUUAAGGGAACAACAGCGUUGGGAACUGCAGUCCCACAGGGUUGGGGACCUUCAGCACCGAAACUGUUCCGGUUCCUCCUGGUUUGCUUGAGGAGCUGGGCAUGGCCACUGGGGAAGAAGCUUUGUCUCAGGGUGCCCAAGCUUGGUGUGAACUCAGGAAGGGAAGGUAGCCUUCCAUUCCCUCAAGUGGAUACUAUAGAGAAGUGGCAUACUUGAUCUCCGUUGGGCUCUGCCUGAGUGUGUCAGAAUACAAGUGCCAUCUUGGGGAACUUGUGGGAAUGGGGGACUCCUGCAAUGGCU
rnacentral:lncRNA from 1 species